UACGUAGGGUGCAAGCGUUGUCCGGAAUUAUUGGGCGUAAAGAGCUCGUAGGCGGUCUGUCACGUCGGCUGUGAAAACUCGGGGCUCAACCCCGAGCCUGCAGUCGAUACGGGCAGACUAGAGUCCGGAAGAGGAGAGUGGAAUUCCUGGUGUAGCGGUGAAAUGCGCAGAUAUCAGGAAGAACACCCGUGGCUAAGGCGGCUCUCUAGUACGGUACUGACGCUGAGACGCGAAAGCGUGGGGAGCGAACAGG
rnacentral:rRNA from 1 species